rfam:Oryza punctata chromosome 9, whole genome shotgun sequence.
AAUAAGUGUAGUUUUACAAUAUUCAUGUCUAACAUUUGACCGUCCGUCUUAUUUCAAAAAAAUUUAUGAUUAAUAUUUUUGUUGUUAUUAGAUGAUAAAACAUGAAUAGUAUUUUAUAUAUGAUAAUUCUUUUAUUUUUUUAUAAAUUUUUUAAAUAAGAUAGACGGUCAAAUGUUGGAUAUGGAAACCCAAGCGCUGCUGCACUGAUU